rnacentral:rRNA from 1 species
UGAGGAAUAUUGGUCAAUGGGCGAAAGCCUGAACCAGCCAAGUCGCGUGGAGGAAGACGGCCCUACGGGUUGUAAACUUCUUUUACCUGGGAAUAACGGGCGCUACGUGUAGCGCUGUGCAUGUACCAGGCGAAUAAGCAUCGGCUAAUUCCGUGCCAGCAGCCGCGGUAAUACGGAAGAUGCGAGCGUUAUCCGGAUUUAUUGGGUUUAAAGGGUGCGUAGGCGGAAGGAUAAGUCAGCGGUGAAAUGCUUCAGCUCAACUGGAGAAUUGCCGAUGAAACUGUUUUUCUAGAGUAUAAAAGAGGUAUGCGGAAUGCGUGGUGUAGCGGUGAAAUGCAUAGAUAUCACGCAGAACCCCGAUUGCGAAGGCAGCAUACUGGGCUAUAACUGACGCUGAAGCACGAAAGCGUGGGUAUCGAACAGG